AGUGAACGCUGGCGGUAGGCCUAACACAUGCAAGUCGAACGGCAGCACAGUAAGCGCUUGCUCUUACGGGUGGCGAGUGGCGGACGGGUGAGGAAUACAUCGGAAUCUACUUUUUCGUGGGGGAUAACGUAGGGAAACUUACGCUAAUACCGCAUACGACCUACGGGUGAAAGCAGGGGAUCUUCGGACCUUGCGCGAUUGAAUGAGCCGAUGUCGGAUUAGCUAGUUGGCGGGGUAAAGGCCCACCAAGGCGACGAUGCGUAGCUGGUCUGAGAGGAUGAUCAGCCACACUGGAACUGAGACACGGUCCAGACUCCUACGGGAGGCAGCAGUGGGGAAUAUUGGACAAUGGGCGCAAGCCUGAUCCAGCCAUACCGCGUGAGUGAAGAAGGCCUUCGGGUUGUAAAGCCCUUUUGUUGGGAAAGAAAAGCAGCAGGUUAAUACCCCGCUGUUCUGACGGUACCCAAAGAAUAAGCACCGGCUAACUUCGUG
rnacentral:rRNA from 1 species